UACGUAGGGGGCAAGCGUUGUCCGGAAUCAUUGGGCGUAAAGAGCGCGUAGGCGGCCCUGUAAGUCCGCUGUGAAAGUCAAGGGCUCAACCCUUGGAUGCCGGUGGAUACUGCAGGGCUAGAGUCCGGAAGAGGCGAGUGGAAUUCCUGGUGUAGCGGUGAAAUGCGCAGAUAUCAGAAGGAACACCGAUGGCGAAGGCAGCUCGCUGGGACGGUACUGACGCUGAGGAGCGAAAGCGUGGGGAGCGAACAGG
rnacentral:rRNA from 1 species